rnacentral:tRNA from 1 species
CAGAUAUUAGUUUAUUAAAAUUUUAAUUUUGGAGAUUAAAGAUAGAGAUUUUUCUAUAUCUGA